GGCGAACGGGUGAGUAAUACAUCGGAACGUGUCGAGAAGAGGGGGAUAACCACCCGAAAGGGUGGCUAAUACCGCAUAAAUUCUGAGGAAGAAAGCUGGGGACCUAGGAAUAGGCCUAGCGCUUUUUGAGCGGCCGAUGUCGGAUUAGCUAGUUGGUGAGGUAAAGGCUCACCAAGGCGAAGAUCUGUAGCGGGUCUGAGAGGAUGAUCCGCCACACUGGGACUGAGACACGGCCCAG
rnacentral:rRNA from 1 species